UACGAAGGGGGCUAGCGUUGCUCGGAAUUACUGGGCGUAAAGGGAGCGUAGGCGGAUAGUUUAGUCAGAGGUGAAAGCCCCGGGCUUAACCUGGGAAUGGCCGUUGAAACUGGCGAACUGGAGUGUGGCAGAGGGGGGUGGAAUUCCGCGUGUAGCAGUGAAAUGCGUAGAGAUGCGGAGGAACACCGAUGGCGAAGGCAGCCCCCUGGGCUAACACUGACGCCUCAGGCACGAAAGCGUGGGGAGCAAACAGG
rnacentral:rRNA from 1 species